rnacentral:rRNA from 1 species
UACGGGGGGGGUAAGCGUUGUUCGGAAUUAUUGGGCGUAAAGCGCGCGCAGGUGGUUUCUUAAGUCUGAUGUGAAAGCCCACGGCUCAACCGUGGAGGGUCAUUGGAAACUGGGAGACUUGGGUGCAGAAGAGGAAAGUGGAAUUCCAUGUGUAGCGGUGAAAUGCGUAGAGAUAUGGAGGAACACCAGUGGCGAAGGCGACUUUCUGGUCUGUAACUGACACUGAGGCGCGAAAGCGUGGGGAGCAAACAGG